GAAUCAGACCACAGAGAGGACAAAUGGGAUGGAUGCGGCUGAGCCCACGGGCAGCUUGUAGGGCUGAGAAAGCAUCAAAGAGGCAGAAACUGUGGCGAGAUGAGAUCGGGAAAUACACACCGAGGGCAGAGUGGAGAUGCCAGCCCCAGGACCCAGGAGUCCAGGUGGGGGUGGGGAGCAUCUGAAAACGCAGGAGACAUUUCUGGGAUCCGAGCUGGAAGGAUUCAGGGGCUCAGAUGCUGAUGGGGGAGGUAAGGGCAUCCAGGCACGCUUCUGUUUCCAAAUACUGGAGACAAAAAGAAAAUUCUAGCAGUUUCCCCAAAGAGAAGAAGGCUUCUCACCAAAGAGCACAAGUCAGGUUGAUAUCCGGCAUCCCGACAGCAAUUCUGACACAAGAGGUGGAGCCAAGUCCGUGGAAGAAAAGCGCUGUGGACCCAGGAGCGUGGCGGAAAACCGCAGCCACGCGUGAGGGGAGGACGGCGAACUCAGGCACGAAGCGGAAGGAAGGAAGCUUGCUCCAUGACUCCCCCCGCCUCCGCCCCGGCUGCCCCGGGAAACCUGUUUGCAGGGAGCGGUCAGUGGGGAGGGAGAGGAAUCAGGGAGGAUGUCCCCCCCAACCCCUCAAGGCGCCGGGAAGGAGGGACCCCACCCCGCUCAGAUGACCGUCCUCUGAGAACACUUCCGGCUGAAGGAAGAGGAGCCGGCUGGUCACAGCCCUCAGGUGCAAACUGUUACCAGCUCCCUGACCUGGACCGCGGUGAGGACGGAAUCCCGGGCGGCCGUGAACUUGGACGGGAGACGUCCCACCUUUUAUUUUCGCAGUGUGCUCAGUCGCUCAGCCACGUCUGACUCUGCGACCCCAUGGACUGUAGCCCUCCAGGCUCCUCUGUCCACGGGAUUCUCGAGGCAAGAACACUGAAGAGGGUUGCCAUUUCCUUCUCCAGGGGAUCUUCCCAACCCAGGGAUCAGAUCUGGGUCUCUUACGUCUCCCACAUUGGCAGGUGGGUUCUUCACCACUGGGGCCACCUGGGAAGCCCCUCCCUUGCCUAAACUGAGUGCUCACCUGUGCCUCCCCGCCUGGAAUCCGGGUCCUGGGCUGACACUGUAGGGUCUCAGAAGCUCUGGUUGAUGUUUCAAUAUUGGUGGUCAUGAGACCCGUCUUUGGAUCUCCACUAAUACACCAGCGAGAAGCCUCAUUCAUUGCUGCGUAAGAAGCUACACUUGCUUCUGACCUGGUAGCUGUAUUUCAGGGUGUGACCCAACUCAGGUUCAGCUGCUUGUCACUCAAGAAUUCCAAACUGAGAGACAAGGGUUGGGGAAGAGGAAAGACAGCCGUGCUGGGGAAGCCGACUGCCCCAGGGAGAAGGUGGACUCACGGCCCAGUGAACCGGCGACCCGUUUCCCAGGCUUUGCUUGGAGAUCAGCCGGGGAGAAGAGAGGACUGUGUGCAUCCCGCCUGACAUCAGUGACCCUGGCUGACGUUGAGAGCUCUCUGGGCACGUAAACUAAGCGCUUCACUGCGUUCCAUCUUCAGGACACAGAAAUAUGCAGCUGGUGGCCUGGCCGUCCUUCUGCAGGUGAUGACGUGGACUUGCCUGGCCUGCAAGUGGCAGGACGGGUGGAGUGGACUCUGCUCUGUCAAACUGACAACAGGGAUGAGCCGCGUUCCCAGCACCGUGUCUCCCUGGCCGGGCGUGGGUCACCGGUGCCCCCUGGAGCCCACGUGUCCCCAGGCCUGUUCAGGGCGACCUUGCUCCUUCGUCCACAGAGCCGGCCUGUUGGAGACUCCGCUCAUCUAAGGGCGAGCUGUCUGGACCCUGUGGACCGGGGUGUUGGUGUUAUUUUGAAGCAGGUCUUGUGGACUGGCAGGGAUCACGAGGAGUGCCGUUCCUUUAUGAACCUCUCGGAAGGAAAAAGCGCCGCCUGUGAACCGCGAGCUGGCGCCCUCGGAGUGCAGCCCGAGCUCACACUCGCCCGGCGCUCUCCGGGCCUCUCUGACGCCGGUCUGCGUAGCACGUGCUCACGCAAGCGUAGAAAGAGGCGAGAUGGAAACCGACCGGCUCAGGAGGCCCUGGGGUCCUCGGGCCAGGAAGGGCACCCGACCACUUUCCAGCCUGAGCCGCCAGGCCCCUGUUUUCCGCAUGGAAUGGUCCCCGGUCCCCGGGAGGGGGGGCAACGCCGCGCUCUGGAGAAGAUUCACCCGCGCUGUGCCCGGCUUUCCUUCAGCUGCCGACAGCGGCUGGAGGUUUGACGCUUGUGCUUCUGGAAAGGUAGCAAACCUUUCCAGACGCUGUCCGGGACAGCAGUCAGACGGCGGCUGGGACUCGAGCUCCUUCCUCAAAUAUCCCUCCUGAGCUUUGUCCCCCAACGGCCAGGCCUCGCCACGCUGCCUCCCUGCUGGGAUGGGACGCUCCCCCGGGGACCCCAGCUGCCCCAUGUCCCGCCCCGCCCCCCUGCCCUGCCCGCACACCGAGGUGGUCCUGCGUGGACCCCUGCAGGUGGCACAGCCUCAUGGCCAAGGGGUGUCCCCACCAGCACCUCGCCGUGAGCGGCCUCUGACCCCCCCGGCCACACCCACGUUCCCAGGCUCCGCAGGGUCCCUGCGUCACUCGCCCGACUCACAGAGCCGGGAAGGCUGUCUGCUCACGGUGACGGUUUUAUAAAGGACGCAGACCGGGACCAGCCAAACAAGGAGACGCCUGGCCUGGCCCCAGGGAGGCAUGUGACACCAUGAAGCUCGUCGGGGGAGGAGGGGAGGGAAGGUGCAGAAGGCGCUGGACCCUGAAGACUUCUGUUCAUCAUCCCCCUCUCUGUUCAGAGGCAGGUCAGGGACCUAGAGCCUACGUGCCACAACUAUGAAUGAAAGAAAGAGAUCGAGAGUGCCGAAACUAAGACCUGAUGCAGCCGAAUAAAUAAAAAGUAUUAAAAAGUGUUAGAUGAGGUCGUAGGGUGCGACUGGUGCCCUUUUAGAGACAGAGACCUGCCCGCACCGUGACCUUGAACGUCCCGCCUCCGGACCGUGAGACCCAUGUGUCUGGUUACGAAGCCCAGUUUAUCAUGAACAGGAGCAGAUUAGUGGGCCGUCAAACCGCAAGUGGCUGGCGAUCUUCUGGGACUUUUAGGCUGGGAGCUGCGGGUUGGGAAUGAAGGGGCUGCUGGGCGGCCAAGUGCCACCUCUGGGCCCAGCUGGCACCAUCCAGAGGCGCUGGGGGACAGGCUGCUGGACUGAACUCGCUUUCCUUCCCUGCCAAGUUCCUGUUUGAAGCUUAACCUCCAAUGUGGCUGUGUUUGGAGAGAAGAUCGCUUUUUGUCGGAGUUGUUUUCAUCUUCUGGAUUCUGACAAUUCACUAGUCACAUGCACAGCAACACUUUUAUCCAAGUCUCUUUGCUUUUCUCUCUGUUUGCGGGAAACUUUUGGCACUCAGAAUUUCACGUUCAAGCUGGACAGCUUAUCGAUACGUUCCUUACUGUCUGUCUGUUCUGUGCCUUAUUUGAGAAGUCUUGCGCUUCACCAGUAUCAUGAGCAUAGUCUGUGUCCUGUAAGAGGCUUACAGAAAACCUGAAUGAACUUUUGGGGCAACCCAAUAGUUUGGUUUUUCAUAUUUCAACAAACUUAAGAGCCUACAAGGCGAUUUUCAUCCCCCUGCAGCUUGGUGCCUGUGGUGGAAGGCAGGCGCUGAACCGAACCCUCCUCCCGUGGAAAGGUGGUGUCCUGGUGCCGUUUGUGAAACAAGCCAACUUUCUGCCUGUGCUGCCGGUGUGGUGGCCCGGAGCCACAUGUACCGUUUACAUGUGAACAAACUGACGUGAAAUAAAAUUCAAAAUUCGGUUUCUCAGA